UCGUGCCGGACUCCGACUUCCACUCCCAUCCUUUGUCGUCGCCCUUUUUCACUUCCUAGAUAUCUCUUUAGCUUCAGUUGCUCCGAAUUCUUUUAGGUUUUUGAUAGGGUUCCUCUCCCUUUGCCACGUAGUCGAGGUUCAGCCAUCCCUCUCUCUGUUUAGGCACUUCUAUACCUUCAAGCAUCACCCUUCGGCAAAGGACUGGUGGUAUUUCUC
rnacentral:lncRNA from 1 species